CUCCGCGCUUGCCCUCGACUCCCAGCUCCCUCCUCAGCGAGGGUAGCGCGGGAGGUCAAACAGUAUAAACAUGCUUGUAAACUUAAGAGAGUCCAAGAAAUCCUUCGAAACAGACAAGUGGGCAAUUCCCCUUUCUGUAUGGAAUUCUCCCUGUGAUCACAGGAUAGCCCUAAAUAAAGAAAAGCUGGCUCUGUCAGUUCUGAUUCAACUACAACGCGAAGUUUGAUUUCUUCCACAAUUUGGUGCCGUGACUCGGAUAGAGACACCUGGAGUGAUCGGUUGGAACACAGACAUCUCUUCACUGAAGGCCUGGCACCAAACCAAGCUUUUCAUUCACAGGAACAGGCAGCUCUCCCCAAAGAACCAGAUGAGCCAUGCCAUUCUAUCCUGCCUGAAGAUUGGGUCCAUAUAAAAGUCCAUCAACGAAAGUCAUUGCUGGAACCUUGCUGGAAAGGCCCAUUCCAGGAACUCCUGACCACCAACACUGCAAUAAAGUGUCGAUUCCAAACAUGGAUCCAUACUUCACACAGUAAGAAAACAUCAGCCCCGUUAGACCCAGAGUCUUCUCCAUAUCAAUCUUGUAAUCAGUCUCCACAAACCGGUAGUGAGCCUAGUGCUUGCCAGCAGGAGAGCUCAAGACCAGUAGUAAGCCAAGCGCCUACUGGCAAAGAGGAUUUGCCACUACAGAGCGAAAAGGAUGUGCCCCAACAAUACCACCAUGCUCUUUGGGACAGGAAAAAGGCCUCUACCUAGUUCCUGACGUGGAGUUGGUUAGUUGUGAUUUGGGUAGUUCUCAGUAUUUCUUUUUGGGCUAUCUUAUAUGAACUGACUCAUCAGUUAUAAGAAACUCUGUAAACCAAACUAUACUCCCACACCAACAAA
rnacentral:lncRNA from 1 species